UACGUAGGUGUCGAGCGUUGUCCGGAUUUAUUGGGCGUAAAGCGCCCGCAGGCGGCUUGUUAAGUUCGAAGUGAAAUCUCCCGGCUUAACUGGGAGGGUGCUCCGAAAACUGGCAGGCUUGAGUCAUGGAGAGGGAUGUGGAAUUCCCGGUGUAGUGGUGAAAUGCGUAGAUAUCGGGAGGAACACCAGUGGCGAAGGCGGCAUCCUGGCCAUGUACUGACGCUCAGGGGCGAAAGCGUGGGGAGCAAACCGGAUUAGAUACCCGGGUAGUCCACGCCGUAAACGAUGAGUACUAGGUGUAGGGGGUAUCGACCCCCUCUGUGCCGAAGCUAACGCGAUAAGUACUCCGCCUGGGGACUACGGCCGCAAGGCUA
rnacentral:rRNA from 1 species